UACGUAGGGUGCAAGCGUUAAUCGGAAUUACUGGGCGUAAAGCGUGCGCAGGCGGUUAUAUAAGACAGUUGUGAAAUCCCCGGGCUCAACCUGGGAACUGCAUCUGUGACUGUAUAGCUAGAGUACGGUAGAGGGGGAUGGAAUUCCGCGUGUAGCAGUGAAAUGCGUAGAUAUGCGGAGGAACACCGAUGGCGAAGGCAAUCCCCUGGACCCGUACUGACGCUCAUGCACGAAAGCGUGGGGAGCAAACAGG
rnacentral:rRNA from 1 species